UUAUUUCCGAUUUUUGCCGAACUUCACCGAUUCUUAUUUUUUCCUCUCUAAGCAAAAUUUAAAAAAAAUCCGUGUUGUCUCGUUCGUCUCGCUCUGGAUCGACUACAACUCUUGGAAAAGAAGCUCGUUCACGAGGCCUACCUCGACCUUUCGGAAAUCAAAGACAUAUUUAAAGUGUUUUUUAGCUUAAUAUCAUUAUUUUUAAACCAGUUAAAACUAGUUAUUUUUCUUACUUUUUUAAGAAGAUGUCGAAGUUACUGUUACUUUACAACAACAUUUUGUUUUUUACGGGACUACGCGAGAAUCCUCGGUCUCAAGUGGAAACCAUGCCGGCGUGAUCAGUGUUAUUUUAAGUACUUCAACUGGGAAAAUCCGACAAAAGCCUGCGGUGUUUAAUACAAUAACGGGACGAGAUUGGAAGGCCACGUCUAAAACGAAGUGACACAGCUUGGCUUUGGCGGUACCAGAAGUGUUUUCACCAUGGAAGGACCUGGUUGUUGCCACAAGACAUUGUUCACAAAACUCUUGCUACAGAACAUUACCACAAGACCAAGAGGUCUUCAACUGAAACUGUACUCCUAAAAGCUGAUGUAACAUAUUGUAGAAUGUUGUCCCCCUUUAACAAUUUUUUUGUUUGUUCUUGCAUGAGUGUGUAGCCAGGAGGACUUUUUAAAGACGAGAGCAAAUAGAUUUAUUAACAGAGAAGUUGUUACAGAUAUGAUCACAUUGAUUGCACUGCAUCGGUUGGUUUUAAACGGCAUGUCCAUAAACCAAUCAGUUUGCAUUACCGAUUUGCAAAUACUUUUCUUAGUGGCAAGGCUCUUCUGUAUGCUGCUCCUUUUUAAAGUAUAGAAUGGUAGUUGCAAAUGUACACCCCGAUUGUUGAGCAAUGAACUGAUUGUAACUGUAUUUUGUUUAAAGUAAUAAAGAAAUCAAAGUUA